rnacentral:lncRNA from 1 species
CUUUAGCCAAAUAGCUUACCAUGAAAUUACUCUUUCCUUUGAUAACCCCUUUGAGCCUAUUUGCCUUUUCUUUGGUUUACCCACAUUACAAGCUUUCAUUUCUAGAAAACAAUAUCUUUAUCCAGCCCUCAAAGCUAGUGGAGUGUUGUUGGUUUUAUUGAAUGUUGGGUGUGAAAGAAAAGAAGUUUGGGGGUAUCAAUAUCAUUUGAGGUGCUAUGUUGGUGUGUAUAUAUAUAUAUAUAAUUGUUUGACAAGGGAAAAUAUGUGGAGGAGACUGAUUUUGAGUGACUAAAAUUAUAAGUUCUCCUGAGAGUUGAAAGAAGAAAAAGGGUGAUUGUGCUGAAUUGAUGAUAAGAAAGAAGUUAUUGAUUGGAGGGAUAGGGUUGUGUACAGAUCCUGUCUAUGUUGAGCUGAGUUGAAUAUCUUUUACUCCACUGAUUUAUUUGAAGCUUCGUAGUCACUUAUCCAAAUGUUUCAACACCUUAACCUUAAGCCACAUUUCAACCCUGAAAAGACCUUAUGAUUUAUGUAAUCCAUGUGAUCUAAGUGGUGACGAUUAAGAAAAUAUGCAAGCUUAUGGUAGAACAUAUUCAUUGGAAUGAUCUGAGCGAAAUAGUACCCAGUCUUAUACACUUGAGAGUGAGUGAUCAUACUAUCUUACAAGGUUCUACAUGUUCAGUUACUUUAUCUUCAUCUGAGAAUGCAUGCUAGUUGAGUAUUUUUGAUCGAUAAAGAAAAGAGUGUUUGAGAGCAACGUUUAGAUUUACACUUGGGAAAUGAAGUGGAAUAUCUGUAUUUGAGUGUGAAUCUUACGAGCAGGAAAGAAUAUAUUUGACCACUGAGGGUCGGGUUGGUGCUAAUUUAGAAAUUUUACUGUCUUGACAGUCUUUUCUUAGUUUAGAUGAUGAUUGAAAAUGGCUAUGCACACACACACACUGAUUGAACAUGGGAUAAGCUGUAAUUAUUUUUUAUAGCAUUAUUUGGAAGUAUGGCUGUGAAUUGAUAUACAAUUUUGAACUCUAUGAUAUUUAUAGCAAGGUAUCUAAUAUGUUGAUCAUUUUUUCAUUUGCAUGAUUAUGUUAGCAGUCAAUCUUGCUCGAGACGAGCAAGAGCUCAAGUUUGGGGGUGUGAUAAGUGUGUUUUUACACACUUAUUUAGCACUUUUUGGGACUUUAUUAUUGAUAAAAUUGAGUAGAUUUCUAUUUAUAAUUGUGUAAUUGUUACUUUUGUAGGCUAAAAUCCCGGAAAGAAGUAUAACGAGCGAAAAGAGAAGGAAAAGGACUUAAAUUAAACAAAAUUGUGAAGCUAAGGACUUGAAGUGCAAUUAUGGAAGGGCCUAAAUGUAAUAAAAGUCAAAUUUUGAGGACCAAAUUGCACUAAAUGAAAGUUGAAGGACCUGAUCUGCAAUUUCGAGAUUUUUUGGUCAACCUUUUUAUUAUUUUAUCCUUAUUUUAUGCUAGAUAUUUUUAGGAUAUUUAUGUUGUGUCAAAUAAUAUAUAUAUAUAUUUUUUUUAUAUUAUAUUUUAUCCUUAUUUUAUGCUAAAUAUUUUUAGGAUAUUUAUGUUGUGUCUAAUAAUAUAUUUUUUUUUAUAUAUUAUAUUUUUUAUAUAUUCCAUAUAUAUACUAAUAUAACUUGGUAGGUGAAAAAAAUUCCCCAACUCUUUCACUUUUCUCUCUAUCUCUCUAGGUCUCUCUCUCUCUUUUUCUUGGUUUUUUUCUUUUAGUUUUAUUUUCUUUUGUUAAUUUUAGUUUUAUUUUGGGAAUCAAGUGGAUAUAGCAAGGAGAUUAUUAAGGAAAGCUUGAAGAAUACGUUGAAAGAAUUACAAUUCAUACUUAAAAGGGUUUUAUCUCAACUUUUGUAUUCCUUUCAUUUAGUUCUUCAUGUUUGAAAUGAUAUGUUUAUGAGAAUCUCUUUGUUAUUUUG